rnacentral:rRNA from 1 species
GCUAACUACGUGCCAGCAGCCGCGGUAAUACGUAGGGCGCAAGCGUUAUCCGGAAUUAUUUGGCGUAAAGAGCUCGUAGGCGGUUUGUCGCGUCUGCCGUGAAAGUCCGGGGCUCAACCCCGGAUCUGCGGUGGGUACGGGCAGACUAGAGUGAUGUAGGGGAGACUGGAAUUCCUGGUGUAGCGGUGAAAUGCGCAGAUAUCAGGAGGAACACCGAUGGCGAAGGCAGGUCUCUGGGCAUUAACUGACGCUGAGGAGCGAAAGCAUGGGGAGCGAACAGGAUUAGAUACCCUGGUAGUCCAUGCCGUAAACGUUGGGCACUAGGUGUGGGGGACAUUCCACGUUUUCCGCGCCGUAGCUAACGCAUUAAGUGCCCCGCCUGGGGAGUGCGGCCGCAAGGCUAAAACUCAAAGGAAUUGACGGGGGCCCGCACAAGCGGCGGAGCAUGCGGAUUAAUACGAUGCAACGCGAAGAACCUUACCAAGGCUUGACAU